AGUUUUAUCUUUGAUUUCUUCUUGUAUUUUUAUCUUUUUCUCUUUUCUCUUUUCUCUUUCCCUCUGUCUGUUCCCCUCCCCCCAAACAAAAGCUUAAACCCAUGAUCUUGCAGUGCUACUUUUUUCCUCUAAAGAACGAUAAAGAAAACUUUA
rnacentral:ribozyme from 13 species